CCUACGGGCGGCAGCAGUGGGGAAUAUUGGACAAUGGGCGAAAGCCUGAUCCAGCCAUGCCGCGUGUGUGAAGAAGGCCUUCGGGUUGUAAAGCACUUUCAGUGGGGAAGAAAGCCUUGGGGCUAAUACCCUCGAGGAAGGACAUCACCCACAGAAGAAGCACCGGCUAACUCCGUGCCAGCAGCCGCGGUAAUACGGAGGGUGCGAGCGUUAAUCGGAAUUACUGGGCGUAAAGCGCGCGUAGGCGGUCUGAUAAGCCGGUUGUGAAAGCCCCGGGCUCAACCUGGGAACGGCAUCCGGAACUGUCAGGCUAGAGUGCAGGAGAGGAUGGUAGAAUUCCCGGUGUAGCGGUGAAAUGCGUAGAGAUCGGGAGGAAUACCAGUGGCGAAGGCGGCCUUCUGGACUGACACUGACGCUGAGGUGCGAAAGCGUGGGUAGCAAACAGGAUUAGAUACCCCAGUAGUC
rnacentral:rRNA from 1 species